CUUCGGAUUUCCCGCCGCCCUGAACUCGGGGCAGCUCGCGAUCCCCUCGCGCGCGUUCUUUUGAUCCCCGCCCCCAGCUUUUCCCGCGUCCGGGAGGCCUGGCACACACAAGGCGCACACUCUGGUUCCUCCCUUCCCCCACCCCCACCCCCCACCCCGAACCCCCACUGAGAUAAUGUGAAUGAUUUCUCCAGAUCUGGUCCCGGAUGAGAUGAAGUGGUUCGUUGACUGCAUGACCUUGGGCAGCCCCCCCACCUCUUUUAUGAUGGAAAGCCAGACACUGUUAAACCCGGGGAUUACCACGAUGAGAGAGAUACAGUGGCCGCUCCCUUGGAGUAAUCUACAACCGACUGCGGAGCCGCGCAGAACUCGACUUUCUGACCAAUGCCUGGGGAUUCUGCUUUCUCCCUUUCUCUUGGGGCUUAGAUGGUGUUUUUUUUGGGGGGGGGGCACCCGGAGGAGUGCCUUCAUGGUACGAAGCCACACCUGCAUCAGGUGUGGAACCAGACAGAGUGUCCUUAGAAAGACCGCUGCCAGAUACCUGUGUGAGCAUGGCUGCCAUCUGCAGAUUUCCCAGAAGAUUCCCCUGGGAGAGCCUUUAAGAGAGGCAGUAGACAGAAGUAAAAGGAGGUAGAGAAUUCAGGAGAAUUAGUCAUAUGUGAAGAUGUUAUGGUAGAGUUCCUGGUGGAGAGGAUUCUGUGCUUUAUACCUCCGAAAAAUAUGGCUGAGGCGUUGGGAAUAUGCUGAGUCAUGGGGCUGGGGAGGAAGGGAGGACCCAUGGCAUUUAAGGCACAGAUCCCGGGGAACCUGAGGUCUUUGUGCUGAGUGCAUUCAGGGUGUGUGAAGGGGCAAGGAAGAAAUUUGAGACCGCCACACAAGACCCUUAGACAUCCUGCUUUAUAAAGGACUCCGAUUGCCAUAAUAGGUCACAGUGGAGAAAAGACAUCAGGGAUCCAUAGAAAUCCCUGACGGGUGUCAAGCGUGGACUUGGAGACAGACCACUUAAGGGGAUCAGACCGGUAGAGAUGCUCCCAAGUGACACAUGCAGGCUGACUGAUGAGCUACCUGCUUUGGCCGGGUCACCUGGCCGCCAACCGCACACCCCCCUGACCUGAGUUAAACGUGUUUGCCCUGGGUGUAGGGUUCUAUUUUACUUUCUAAGUCUCUUUCCUGCCUCCCAGGACAGCCCUCCUCACCAGUGUGCAGACAAACCUUUACCUCAGGGCAGCCUGGCUUUGCUCACACUUUUUCUCUUGACCCUGUGGGGUGGGGAGUGGGGGGGAUGCACCGUGUGUGUGUGUGUGUGUGUGUGUGUGUGUGUGUGUGUGUACAUGCAGACAUGCUGGAGAGUGGGCUGUGCCCUAUCUUGUUCUGAAGAAAUGAUAAACAAUGCCUUUUUUUUUUUUUUGGUUGCUCUGCUACCUGGACCAAUGGGGUAGGACUCUCUUUUCAUAUUCUAAACAGAUGGGAAGGUGGUGAUGACAGAGAAUUCCCGGGUGCCUUUUCAACAGUGGGGUUUUCCUGGGUUUUUGAAACCCUCUUGGUGAAAGGUGAUGAACGUGUGCCAUCCCCCUUUCUGCUGUGCCCCCCCCCACAAACUUCUUAAGCUUCUUUAAAAAGCUCCUACUAAGUCUCUGAUUUAAAAAAACAAAACAAAACAACAAAAACAAAAAAACAAAACUUCAGCAAUAAAACCAAGACUACAUUGCCCCAGAAUCUCCCGGGAAUCAAAGCUUUCCAGGGAGCGUUUUCACCCUACCCAGGUUCCCACCAUCUGUCAUGAUUGGCUGCUGUCUGCUCUGAAGCCCUAAUGCACUAACCUGGCAUGCCAUUGCCCUUUCUUUCUAGGGCUAAAGUUCCUGGCAGGGGCAUGGAGGAUGAACAAGUCAGUCAGGGUCUUCCAGCAGCCCCAUGGGUCAAAGAGUUAAUCGCAGUUCAUUUAUUGUCACUUUAGGAGUAUUUGCUGUGGUGGCAUAAGCAAGUGACUUCACGUUGACACUUUUAGGUAGAGGGACAGAAGGCCCAUGUGACCAAAAAUUAUGCAUACGUUUGUGCCUGAGCACUGUUCCCUCCCAGUAAGAUAGAAAAGCCAUGAAGGCCCUGACUCUUGACUCGGCCACUCAUCAAGAGCGAGGUUGCUUUGCAAACGCACCCAUAGAUGAGGUUUUAGUCUCCUGGUCAGUGAAGGUAUGUCACAUUGGUGCUGUCCACCCUCCCAUGGGGGCAGUGAACUCAAAAUCCAGAAAGAAUUGUUGAACUUGAAAGGUUCCUAGAAACACUUUUUAGUCAUAUUCUUCUUUAUUCCCAAAGUGUGUGUAGGGAGGGGGGGCACAGGGAAUGGGGUGUUUUGAGUGGAGGCCUUUUUGUCCCCAGUGUGGUGUCAUAUCCAAUAAUCACAACCAGGGACUGCUCCGUUGUCAGCCUGUUACCCACGAGGGGUGACUUCUCUCACCUUUUUGCUUUUAAAACCUAAAACAAAUGUCUGCAGCCUAGGAGAGACUCCCCCUUCCCCCUAGGUUUUUGGGAAUGUUUUGUGGGUUUGUUUUAGAGCUAGGGAAAGGGGGGUGUAAUUUUGCCUGAGGACUCAAAGCUUUUUUUUUCUCUCUCCCUUUUCCUUCGCAUGACUGACUUUCUCACACUCAGAUUCCCUGCAGCCUGCCAGAGACUGGGUUGCUGCCUUGCCAAGAGCUAUCCUGGUAGGGUUAUUGAAAGAGCUUUGACCCUUUCAGCCUCCGUGAGAAAAAUGAAGCCCAAGAGAGCAGGGACGUGUUUGCCUUUCCUCCGGGGCGGCAGCCAGCUCCUUGCAGCUGGGAGUGUCCAGAGACACUUUCGACAUUCCAGGCAUCCUGUGCCUGCAUGUCUGUCUGUGGGUGCCUCCUGGCGACACCACACCUGAGCCAGAACGACGCUGGAGAUCACUUUUCCCUGUGGCCACUCUUCUGCUCUGGCUGCAGGCAUUUGGCUGGCUGGUGACUUGAGGAUCCUUUACUGGAAUCAUCAUCAUCCUUGUCUUCUCAGAUGAGAGUCUUGGGACUCAUCACAGAAUUCCCUAGUGAGCAGAACUUCUCAUCACCUGAACAGUCCCUGAAAAGGAGUUGGAAUUUCUUCCUCCAUAUGCCCCUUUAUGUCUAGCAGGUGCCUAAUAAAUAUUUCCCAAAUGAACAAAUGCACCACUUUCUUACCCAA